rnacentral:tRNA from 1 species
GCGGCCUUAGCUCAGUUGGUAGAGCGCCAGGUUGUGGUCCUGGAUGUCACGGGUUCGAAUCCCGUAGGUCGCCCCA